CUGACAUCUUUUAACGGUGGCUGUCUGGCAGACUUCGGUGACACAGACGGAAGCUGAUAUCUACCAACUGUGGGUCUCAAGGGUGUGUCCUUGGAGGACAGAGGCGAAAGGAAGACAUACCAGACUCUUCCAGACCCUCUCUUAAGCCCCAGGGUCCAGGCUGGUGAGGUGGCGUUAAGAAGGUGCUUGGUACCAAGUCUGAUGACCUGGAGUGUACCCUGAGCCCCACAUGGUGGAAGGAGAGACCUGACUCCAGAAAGUUUGUCCUCAGACAUGUGCUUCAACCACACACACACACACACACACACACACACACACACACACACGGUAAGUCAUUGAUCAAUUAAUUUAAGUUUUUAAAAGACCCCAGGGUCACUCUUCUUGAGGGUAGAAUCAACCAUCUGCAUUUCUGCCAUCUAUAGCCCAUCUUGUGGCUUACCAUGGCUGCUCGGAGUAGGACAGGCCAGGUCACACCUUCAGGGCUUGCUGUAAGGGUUUUUUUCCACUUGCUUGAGGCUGUUAACUUAUACAGUGUGUCCUUAAAGCACACAACACACACGCACGCACACACACACACAUCACUAUGGGUUUGUUUCCGCCAUGAUUUUCUUAUUUUCCUGAUGCUCCUGAGUAACAAGCAGCUCUGGUUCCUCAAGUUCACUGGGUGGUUCCUAUGAACCCCAAAGCAGAACAGAAACGGAAAGAGAGCCACCCUGUUGGGCUGGCCCCUGCCGCUAGAAUAGCAUUUGAAGGCAUGUUGCUUGUUUGGAAGGCGAUCUCGGGAAGUUCUGGAGGAGUCCCCAGAAAGUGAGGCAGGGAAAUACCGGGGCAGUGCUAACAGUCCAUUUGCACAGCUGGAGCACAGCCCCCUCAAGCCUCUCUGGGACCACCCACAGGACAAGAGCACCGGGCUCUGUCCACCUGCUCCAAGACACACCAAACACUGGAACACACGUGGGGUAGAAGUUCUGUGACCAGGGGUCCUCAGUCUUCCUAAGACUGCCACCCUUUAACACCGCUCCUCAGGUCGUGGUGACCCCACGACCUGAGGAGUUAUUUUCGUUGCUGCGUCCUAACUGCGGUUUUGCUACCGUUAGGAAUCACAGUGUAAAUAACUGACGUGCAGGACACCUGAAGAGUGGAGACCCACAGGCUGGGAGCUGCUGCCUUACAGACAGGUAUGCGUCAGAUGGAAAGCUGUUGGCAGGUACAGGGACCAGAAGUGUCAAAGGGACACAGGCCGGACACCGGAAGCAUGGCUUCCAUCUACAUGGUGGUCUCAUGCCGGAGGCCAAGAAGGGAGGACAAAGAUCUUGCCCACUUCCUCCCCGGUGGUUUAGAUUUGGAGGAUACAAAGUGGGGUCCCUGAGUAGCCUCACCCAUGGCACGCACGCCUCCUCAGCCAUCUCAGACCAGAGGUCACUACCAAGUUUGCAGGAAUCUCAGGAGAGGAAGAGUCACAGUGAGCAGAAAUAAGUCGAUGAGUCAGGUGAAGCUGAGCAGGAGAGGGGUCAGCCCUGAGAUGCUCAGUGUGUGUGCUGUGUUCAUGAGCUACAGCAUCUUCGAGGGGCAUCCACAAGGGGCAGCCAUGCAGAAGGAGGGCAGAGAGAGCAGCAGCGAGGGAGGGGCUGCACACCCUCCUGGAAAUGCAGGGAGGGCUGAGGGCUGGGAGAAGACAGCCCAUGAAGCCUGGAGGACGGUGCUCGGACCCACUGCUCUCACACAAUGACGGAGCGACUGCCACUCGCCUCUGCUCCCUUCUGUUCUCAUGAUUCCCUCUGUGGUCCCAUGGGCUCCUUCUGUCUCCAUCUGUGUGCUCUCUCUCUCUCUUUUCCUCCCCCUCACACCCUCUCUCCUGUCUUCCCUCCUCCCAUCCCUCCUUCCCUCCCUCCCUCACACCCUCUCUCCUGCCUUCCCUCCUCCUUCCCUCCCUUCCUCUCUCCCUGUUCCUCUUGCCAUCCCUUCUUCCUGUCUCUCUGGAUGUCUAAGAGACCCCGUUAUUCUAUCCCUCACACACUUCUUCAUCAUCCUUUUCCUGGUCUUUCUAUUUUUCCAUGGGUUCCCCAGGGCUCUUUCCAACCUUUUUUAGAGGCUACUGUGCCCCACCCCUCGGGGAGGGUCUGGAGUCUCAGCAAUGGAAGCUGCAUAACUAACGAGUGGCCAGGAGUGGAACAUAUGCGUCCCAGUGGCUGCCUGUGCGGUGGCAGAUGGAGGCUGACAGGCUCGUCCACUGCCAAGCACUCCUCAAAGUGUCCAUCAGCAACAGCCUUCCAUUCAAGAGCCCCCUCUCGCCGUGAUCAACAUUUCAAAAGCGAAUGCACAAGGCGUACAGUAGGUUGCUAUAAUUCACCCAAGGGCUGCACCCGCCUCUGGGAGGCCGCCGCAUUCUUCUCUCUGAGUGAGCUAUUUUUACCAGCUCCCCCUCCGCUCCAGCUCCCAUCUCAGCCUCAGAGCUGAAUUAGACCCUUUCUUCAUCUUGCGGGCUCCCCUCCCUGUUAUUAUAUAAAACCAUUUCAGCCCUUAAGGAGUUGGCAUCUGACAUCCACAGCUCCUGGAUCCCCAGAACAGAGACGGGGAGGGAUAAAUAGAAGGGAGGGAAAGAACUGUUCUGUUCUGGCUCCAGCAACGCAGAUCGGAUCGUCAGAGAGUUAAACAGCAGCAAAGCAUUCGGUGUUAAUCUUUAAUAUUCCCAGGAACUUGUCACCUCUUCCUUCAGGCCCACCGCUGCCUCCGCCAAGCGAGCUCAAGCCUCUCACAAGACAUCACACCUCCUAUUGUGUUCUGGAAGAAAGUACCCACCAGAGGGGAGUUCUGAGUGAUCAAACUGCCAAGGGGGAGAGGGAAGCGGUGCCUGCUAUUUACAGCAGAAGACUGAGAGCUGAACGUGGCUCCCUCCUGCUCCUCCCAUGGCUCACCGGUUUGCAGCAGCCCUGGCUGAGCUCAGCAUCCCCCGUCCCCCUUUUCCAGGCUCCAGAAGCCGAGGCGUAGGUUGUGUUUAACAAAUGCCGAGGGAUGAACAUGCCACCAAAGGUGGAAAUGGACAGGGGCCGUGUGCCUGUUGCCUGGCUGACAGUGCGUCUGCUGUUGGCAGCUAGUUCUCAGCAAGAUUUGUAAGCCAGCAGGGUAAGCCAGGGCGGCUCACCUGUGAAAAUGGCAAGACUCUCUCUCUUUACACACAUCGUGUGUCUCAAUAUAAGUUCCCGGGGGGUGGGGGGGGGCACCUAGCCCAGGAUUCCAGGAGGAUGAGUUUAUCUGGAGGGAGACCUGGAAACUACCUUAGAGGAUGUGAGGGGGAGCAAGGAGCCCGCGCAGGGCAUGGUGUCCCGUUUAAUCCCCGGAGAACUAUAAAGGUCAGUGUGGAGCAUGCCUCGGGGUGACUGCAGGAGAUGCCUGUUAGGAAGGGUCAGGGGACCUCAGAGUUCUCACCACCGGUCCUGCCCGCAGCCAAGGCUGCCGGGAGGAGGGUGGGAGUCCUCCCAGCAGAUGUGUGGGCACUGGCCACCAGACAGACAUAACUGGGGAGCUGACUGUCGCCGUGGUACCAACAGGAGGGACGCCGGUGUGGUACUGGCCACAGGAAGGACCAUCCAUCAACGGGACAGGCACUGUCGGGAAGCUGGCCGCCGGACAGACAUCACGGUGGAGGCUGGCCGCCGGAGGACAGCUAGGUUACCAUUUGCCAGAAGCCAACAGCACAGUGCUGGCUGUUGGAUGCACAGUUUUAAUAAACUAGAGGGAAUCCGAACAUGGCA